rnacentral:rRNA from 1 species
AGUGAUCCUACGGGAGGCAGCAGUGGGGAAUAUUGCACAAUGGAGGAAACUCUGAUGCAGCGACGCCGCGUGAAGGAAGAAGGUUUUCGGAUCGUAAACUUCUAUCAGCAGGGAAGAAAAUGACGGUACCUGACUAAGAAGCCCCGGCUAACUACGUG